AACGGCCGUACCAUGCUGAAUAUACCGGUUCUCGUUAGAUCACCGAAGUCAAGCAUCAUUGGGCGCGGUCAGUACUUGGGUGGGUGACCACCUGGGAACACCGCGCGCCGU
rnacentral:rRNA from 1 species